rnacentral:rRNA from 1 species
UACAGAGGUCCCAAGCGUUGUUCGGAAUUACUGGGCGUAAAGGGCGCGUAGGCGGCCUGUUAAGUCGGACGUGAAAUCCCUCGGCUCAACCGGGGAACUGCGUCCGAUACUGGCGGGCUUGAAUUCGGGAGAGGGAUGUGGAAUUCCAGGUGUAGCGGUGAAAUGCGUAGAUAUCUGGAGGAACACCGGUGGCGAAGGCGGCAUCCUGGACCGACAUUGACGCUGAGGCGCGAAAGCCAGGGGAGCAAACGGG